rnacentral:rRNA from 1 species
GAUGAACGCUGGCGGCGUGCCUAAUACAUGCAAGUCGAACGCAUUGUGGUUGAAAUGAUAUGAAGAACUUGUUCAGAUUUGAUUUUCAACAUUGCAAUGAGUGGCGAACGGGUGAGUAACACGUGGGAAACCUACCUCUUAGCAGGGGAUAACAUUUGGAAACAAAUGCUAAUAACCGUAUAAUAAUUAAAACCGCAUGGUUUUAGUUUAAAAGAUGGUCUUGCUAUCACUAAGAGAUGGUCCCGCGGUGUAUUAGUUAGUUGGUGAGGUAAUGGCUCACCAAGACAAUGAUACAUAGCCGAGUUGAGAGACUGACCGGCCACAAUGGGACUGAGACACGGCCCAUACUCCUACGGGAGGCAGCAGUAGGGAAGUC